rnacentral:tRNA from 1 species
UAAUAAUUAAUAUAAUUAGUAUAUUUAAUUUCCAAUUAAAACGUUCAUUAAAGAAUUAUUAA